UAAGUUAGACACAUUGUUAAGUCAAAAAUGCAUUUAAUACACCUAACCUCCCCAAUGUCAUAGCUUAGCCUAGCCUACCUUAAACGUGCUCAGAACAGUUACAUUAUCCUGAAGUUGGGCAGGACAGAUGUGAGCCAGGCUAGAAGGGCAUCGGUGACCUUCGAGAGAAGGGUCAGGACAGAUGUGAGCCAGAUGAAGAACAUCAGUGACCUUCGAGAGAAGGAAAUAAGCCGACAGGCUGUGGGGGGGUGUGGCAUCAGGAAAAGCAGGGGGGCCCCUGUUCACUUCUGCAAGCAGAAGGUGAAAGGGGACAAUCUCUGAGGACCUGGGUGGGGCAAAGGACAGACCCCAGGACUGGACAGCUAGGGAAAGUGGUGUGGUGAGUUGAGAGCGGGAUAUUGAGAGCGGCAUGUACACAAGUGGCUUAGCUUUUGCCACUCCUCUUCUAUGGCGGGGAGUAAGCCAGGGGCUGUGGAGGGAGGGAGGUGUUCCCAGGCCCAUCACUUCCGGCCUCAGCAGCCUCUUCUGUUGAGGGAAGAGGAGUUACUCAUGUCGUCACUUCUGUUUCAAGUCCUGAAAAGGUCGGGAAGCAUUGCCUACACAGUCAUGCGAGGUCUCAAGCACGAGAUUUGGGGCUUUUGGAAGGAUCAGGUUCUUCUGAUUGCCCACCUCCCUCUGACCAAGCCCCUUCUCCAUCCCAGUGACACUGCUUUGUUCUUAGUACUGUCUCCCUUGCACCAGGGGUUACUCAGAAGGUUCUCAGAUGUUCUUUCCAAAGGCCACAAGGCCUCAUCUCAACUGUGCCCCACAGCUUUAUGGGUCGAGCAUCCGAAAUACAAAAUGCUCCAAAAUCCAAAACAUUUUGAGUGCUGACAUUACACCCAAAGGAAGUGCUCACUGAAGCGAUUUGGAUUUGGGAUUUUCCGAUUAGGGAUGCUCAAGUGGCAUGUACAUAACACACAUAUUCCAAAAUCAAAAAAAAGCUGAACUCCAAAACACUCCUGGGCCCAAGCAUCUCAGGUUAGGGAUGCUCAACCUGUAUUUGCACAGAAUUUGGGAGAGAGUUUAGGUGCUAUUGUUGAAUGGGUGGCUACCUCAAGUCAAACUGUGCCCUUUCCUGUACUAGGUGACAGUGCCAAGCCUGCCCUCCCCUCUAAGGUCAGAAAAACAAUGAGCAACGUGUGUCAAUGAGGGCAGCAGCUUCCAAACAGAUACCUGGGGAAACCUGGAAAUCUUCAGUGAUGUUUUGGUGGAGUGAGAACCUCUACAAGGGUUUGAUUCUAACUUCACUUUUAAAAUGCAUUUAGUUUUA
rnacentral:lncRNA from 1 species